UACGUAGGGGGCAAGCGUUGUCCGGAGUUACUGGGCGUAAAGCGCUCGCAGGCGGUGUCCUGCGUCGGGAGUGCCAGCUCUGUGCUUCACACAGGGAGUGCUCACGAAACGGGGACACUUGAGGACUAGAGAGGGACAUGGAACUCCGGGUGGAGUGGUGAAAUGCGUAGAGAUCCGGAAGAACACCAAAGGCGAAGGCAGUGUCCUGGCUAGUGUCUGACGCUGAGGAGCGAGAGCGAGGGGAGCGAACAGG
rnacentral:rRNA from 1 species